UACGGGAGGCAGCAGUGGGGAAUAUUGCACAAUGGGCGAAAGCCUGAUGCAGCUAUGCCGCGUGUAUGAAGAAGGCCUUAGGGUUGUAAAGUACUUUCAUCGGGGAGGAAAAAACAAAACUAAUAAUUUUAUUUCUUGACGUUACCCGAAAAAGAAGCACCGGCUAACUCCGUGCCAGCAGCCGCGGUAAUACGGAGGGUGCUAGCGUUAAUCAGAAUUACUGGGCGUAAAGAGCACGUAGGUGGUUUUUUUAAGUCAGAUGUGAAAUCCUUGGGCUUAACCUAGGAACUGCAUUUUGAAACUGAAAUACUAGAGUAUCGUAGAGGGAGGUAGAAUUCUAGGUGUAGCGGUGAAAUGCGUAGAUAUCUGGAGGAAUACCUGUGGCGAAAGCGGCCUCCUAAACGAAUACUGACACUGAGGUGCGAAAGCGUGGGGAGCAAACAGGGAUUAGAUACC
rnacentral:rRNA from 1 species